rnacentral:lncRNA from 1 species
AUGCCCGCGCCCCCCCCCUCCAUCGCCAGGGUCCCGUGUGAGGGAGCUCGGGCUGGGCUUGGACGCCUGGGCCCCUUGCCCAUGGGCGGAGGGCUGGAUGCCAGCACCUGGUUUGCCCGGAUGCCUAGGCCCCGCGGCCACCAACGGCCGCCUUGGCGAGACAGAAAAGCAGGUCUCCUCGUCUUCCAAGGAAGCUGCUCUGACCCAGUUCUUCUGGCCACCAGCCCUGGAAGAGCGAGGAGAAACUCCUUGGUGCCCAGCGGCCUCCUGGACUGUCAUCCCGGCGUCGCCCCACCUCAGUUACCCGCUUGUGACGUCACCGGCUCUGACAUCACAGUGGCUGGCGGCCACCGGAGGAGAUGUCCCAGCGGGCAAAUUCUCCUCCUCGGCCCUUUGGCAGACCAGUUGAGGUCCCGGGGCACCGGAUCCCACUGGAAGAGCUGGGGACGUGGCGUUUCCCUGUGGAUCAACCCUGUGGCGUUGAGUUGCCCGAAGCCACCUAUGAGCCAGGCGUCGAAAGACGGUGAGGUUGGAGAAUUGGGAUGGGUACAGAGAGGUCCAGUGGGUUCUGCUGCCUCCUUGGAUCACGCUCCGUUGUCCCACCGCCGUGGAGAUGUGACAACUGUCCCAGCGCAGGAGCUCUCAAGGUCCAUCAUCCUCUGCUUGCUGGAGGCCGAGAUGAGAGCUCCACCAGGGGCUAGCAAAGACCACAGGAAAGAGAUCCCAGCUGUCCCGAAAGAAGUGACCCCAACGGAAGCUUCUCCAAACCCUUGUGGCCACAUUCCCGCUGGUGCUCCUCACUGCUGGGAGGAAAAGACAGUUUUAUACGCAGGCCUCCACAAUGUUGCUGAGGAGGUCGUGGUCCAAGUUGUCAACACGGUCGUGGAAGAAGGAUCCUACCUCCCCGACGUAGCCCAGGUACAAGGGGAGGCCAAGCCAAAGCCACCCGGGAGGAACCUCAGCCCAGGCCUUCACCUGUGCUACCUCUGCUGGCUCCACAGCCACCACCAGAGAAGCCUCCAGCUGGACCAACCAAUGAGCUGCCUCCACGGCAGACACGGAAGCUCCAAGCCAAGACCUUGGAGACGAUCGAAGAAAACCCUCCAGCUUCCCAGGUGA